rnacentral:rRNA from 1 species
GUCUAUGGCCAUGCCACCCUGAACAAGCUGGACCUUGUCUGAUCUCAGAAGCUAAGCAGGGUUGGGCCUGGUUAGUACUUGGAUGGGAGACCAUCUAAGGAGACCAGGUGCUGUAGGUG